UCCUAUUAAGUGUCAUUUCCUUCUUGGUAUUAUGACUAUAGGACUUCUCAAUGAUACGUGGACAUUCCAACUACGCUCCGGACUUCAUUAAUACUUGCAUUCAUUCUGAUAUAAGAAAGCUGUUGAAAUGCUUUGAGAUCUGAUUCUAUUUGAAAUGCACGUGAAAUCAAUCUCCCAUCAUCAUCUCUCUCAGUUUGCAGUCACCCAAAAUCAAGAUUUAGCACCAGUAUUUACCAGAAGCACUGGUACUCUUAUUACUGCAAUAUCUGAACAUUUCACUGCCUUCCAUUUACCUGCUGCUCCGGGAACUAUCCAAGGAAAACCUUCCUUAGAUCCUGAGAUGAUUUUUUUUGUUUCUCCUUCUUUCUGUUUUUAUUUGCCCUUUGUGGAAAAAAUUGCCUGGGGCAACAUUCUGUAUUAA
rnacentral:lncRNA from 1 species